rnacentral:rRNA from 1 species
GAUGAACGCUGGCGGCGUGCCUAAUACAUGCAAGUCGAGCGAAUGGAUUAAGAGCUUGCUCUUAUGAAGUUAGCGGCGGACGGGUGAGUAACACGUGGGUAACCUGCCCAUAAGACUGGGAUAACUCCGGGAAACCGGGGCUAAUACCGGAUAACAUUUUGAACCGCAUGGUUCGAAAUUGAAAGGCGGCUUCGGCUGUCACUUAUGGAUGGACCCGCGUCGCAUUAGCUAGUUGGUGAGGUAACGGGUCACCAAGGCAACGAGGCGUAGCCGACCUGAGAGGGUGAGCGGCCACGCUGGGACGAGGGCACGGCCCAGACUCCUACGGGAGGCAGCGGUAGGGAAUCUUCCGCGAUGGACGAAAUGCUGACAGAGCAACGCCGCGUGAUUGAAGAAGGCUUUCGGGUCGUAAAACUCUGUUGUUAGGGAAGAACAAGUGCUAGUUGAAUAAGCUGGCACCUUGACGGUACCUAACCAAAAAGCCACGGCUAACUACGUGCCAGCAGCCGCCGUAA